rnacentral:lncRNA from 1 species
UAUUUUUUCCAAAAAUCAUUUCUAGGUACAUAAGUAUCUAUUUAAUCAGAGAAAUAUCAAAAAAAAUUCCAAGAUUAAACCACUAGCAAGGAACGGUCAUUCCCGCCGUUUUGACCGCAUUUUGAAACGGGCAUAAAAAAUUCAAAAAAAAAUCAAAUAAUUGGGAAACCUUCGCAUUGUGUCAUUAUAUGUGGCCAAGUUCCCAGGAAAAAUAACAAACUUGUAAUACGGCAAUUAUUUAAAAAAAAUGUUCUCAGAAACGAGCUAUCACGUGUGUAGAUCAAUGGCUUUCAAGCCAAAUGAUCAAUCUUAUGGCCACAUUCAUGGCAUAGUUUGUUCAAAUGAUCUCAUAUUGUGCACAAGGGUGCAUAUUGGAAUGGCAAACAAUGUUGCCUAAGGAAGUUUUCAUUUUCUUUGGACGAAAAAACCAUCUUCCAUUUUUCGAGUGCCCAAAAGGAGGGUUUUUUGUGAGGGACCUCCCAAAUAAUUGUUGCAAAAUUGGACCAAAUCAUUUUUCAAAAAUACUAGGCCAUAUUUAAUGCACAAUUGACCAAAUGGUUGGGUGUAAAAAGUUUUGAUCCACCUCUCGUGAAAAAGACAAAUUUCCACCGAUUCAGCUGGAAGCGGGUCAAAUUUGAACUGUAGCUUCCUUGUAGUUUGCUCUUUAUUUUUUUCAAAAAUCAUUUCUAGGUACAUAAGUAUCUAUUUAAUCAGAGAAACACCAAAAAAAUCCAAGAUUCAACCACUAGCUAGGCACGGUCAUUCCCGCCGUUUUGACCGCAUUUUGAAACGGGCAUAAAAAAUUCAAAAAAACAAAAAAAUUGGGAAACCUUCGCAUUGUGCCAUUAUAUGUGGCCAAGUUCC